rnacentral:rRNA from 1 species
AACGAACGCUGGCGGCAGGCCUAACACAUGCAAGUCGAGCGAAGCCUUCGGGCUUAGCGGCGGACGGGUGUGUAACGCGUGGGAACGUUCCCUUUGGUACGGAAUAGCCCCGGGAAACUGGGAGUAAUACCGUAUGUGGUCGAGAGACGAAAGAUUUAUCGCCAAAGGAUCGGCCCGCGUUGGAUUAGGUAGUUGGUGGGGUAAUGGCCUACCAAGCCGACGAUCCAUAGCUGGUUUGAGAGGAUGAUCAGCCACACUGGGACUGAGACACGGCGCAGACUCCUACGGGAGGCAGCAGGGGGGAAUCUUAGACAAUGGGGGAAACCCUGAUCUAGCCAUGCCGCGUGAUCGAUGAAGGCCUUAGGGUUGUAAAGAUCUUUCAGUGGGGAAGAUAAUGACUGUACCCACAGAAGGAGCCCCGGCUAACUCCGUGCCAGCCGCCGCGGUAAGAC